rnacentral:lncRNA from 1 species
UAAAAUAUUUUUCUUUACAUUUUGUAAAUUUUUUUUUACAUCCAACAUUUAAUCCAUCUAAUGUAGCAUUUGUAAAUUUAUGUCCUAUCUUUGUAGGAUCCCUUAAAUUUAGUUGUAUAGAUGCUCUACUCGCUCUUUUUUUACAAUCUAAUCGUAGUGGAAAAGCUACUAGUUUGAUCUUUUUUACCAUUGAUUUAUAUUUAAUUUCAAUACGUUGUCAUAUUACAUGGUUUUCUAUCUAAGAAUACACUGAGUACCUAGUUGUAGAAAGUUUAGUUUUAAAAUCUUAAUUUAAAUUUAACCAAAUCCUAAUCAAAUCUUAAUCCUAAAUCAAAUCCUAACUAAAUCCUAAAUCCUAAAUCAAACCCUAAUCAAAUCCUAAUCCUAAAUCAAACCCUAACCAAAUCCUAAACCAAAUCCUAAACUCUAAAUCAAAUCCUAGUAAUUUCUACAAUAGUUUUAUACCUCAAUUAUUAAUGAAUGAACUAUUAAUCUUAACUCAAAAUUUAGAUGGUUUUUAAUAAUUAAAUUUAUAAAAAGUACAAGAAAAAUUUGAAAAUGAUCGGAAUUACCAAAUAGACUACAGCCUCAAAAACGUGCUUGGAUAUUAGCUAGCCUCCUUCUCUGACCUUGAUGCCAAUCUUCUAAAGCCAAUAUCUCUCUUUUUCAUUGUUUGAUUGAUCUCAAAAUUCUUAUACAUAUAGAAAAACAAGUCUAAUAUCCUUUCACAUAAAUUUCACUCCAAUCCAACUAAUAGAUUGUAAGAAAACUUAAAAACCCUCACUAGACCUAAAAUUCUA